GACGAACGCUGGCGGCGCGCUUAACACAUGCAAGUCGAACGGAAAGGCCUGCUUUCCCUUGUGGAUUGCGGGUACUCGAGUGGCGAACGGGUGAGUAACACGUGAGUGAUCUGCCCCCAACUUGGGUAUAAGCCUGGGAAACUGGGUCUAAUUCCCGAUAGGACUGCAGGGUGGUGCCUGUGGUGGAAAACGAUUUUCUAGUUGUUGGGGAUGAGCUCGCGGCCUAUCAGCUUGUUGGUGGGGUAAUGGCCUACCAAGGCGGCGACGGGUAGCCGGCCUGGGAGGGUGGACGGCCACAUUGGGACUGAGAUACGGCCCAGACUCCUACGGGAGGCAGCAGUGGGGAAUAUUGCACAAUGGGCGGAAGCCUGAUGCAGCGACGCCGCGUGGGGGAUGACGGCCUUCGGGUGGUAAACUCCUUUCGACCGCGAGGAAGCCACCUGGUUGGAAGGGUGGUGACGGUAGUGGUAGAAGAAGCACCGGCUAACUACGUG
rnacentral:rRNA from 1 species